CUUUGGUGACGAGCGGCGGACGGGUGAGUAAUGCUUGGGAACAUGCCUUGAGGUGGGGGACAACAGUUGGAAACGACUGCUAAUACCGCAUAAUGUCUACGGACCAAAGGGGGCUUCGGCUCUCGCCUUUAGAUUGGCCCAAGUGGGAUUAGCUAGUUGGUGAGGUAAUGGCUCACCAAGGCGACGAUCCCUAGCUGGUUUGAGAGGAUGAUCAGCCACACUGGGACUGAGACACGGCCCAGACUCCUACGG
rnacentral:rRNA from 1 species